GGCAGCUUCGCCCGGGACUGGGAGGCGCUUCCCAGACCCAGGCCACCCCUCCUGCCCGGCGAGCUUGGCCGGGAGUCAGCUCUCCAGCGCACUGGCCAGAGUGUUCCCAGAUGUGCACCGCGGGUGAUAAAAGGCGCACUGGUUCCUGUCAGCAGCAGGGAACUCCAGGAGGGGACCCCCAGCAGCCGGCCGGGGCAGAUGUUUGCAACGUGUGCGCUGGCGGCAGGGAGGGGAAGCCAGAGGCACCGGGAUGGCCUGGCUGGCUCGCAAGGGGACCACACAGGGGUGUCGCCACACCCCCUCUCCUGGGACGCACAUCAGACAGGAUGGGGUCAGGUGCAGUUAGGAGGAGACACCCUGCCCUUCCCACCUGGCUGCUCACUCCACCGUGGACUGCCCUGGGAGUGGCAUCCGGUUUGGGGUUACCUGGGCCUCUACUGCCUGCCCUGGAACUGCAUCCCGGCUUGGAAAUGGGCUGCUCCUCCCUCUGCCCCUGAGUUUCUGGGGAUGGUGCCAGUCCCAGUACUUUGCCCUUGACCCUUGGUAACAGGGGAAGCAUGUAACCCAGUCCCGACCAAUCACAGUUUCCCAUUCCCCUGGCCACUGUGAUUGGUGCAGGGAUGGGCACGGGACCUGAACAGGACCAAUGGAGUCCUUCCCUGAGAAUGAAGAAUGUUCCCUCCUGAGUCUCAGACCGUGCGAGGAGCGAUUCCGGAAGGUCGCUCGUGGCCACUGGACUCUUCUGCAGACCAGGAGAUCGGGAUCUGGAAUGGGGCUUGGAGUUGAGCUCAUGCAGCAAGCUAGGGGCAGGGUGAGUUUAGGAGAAGAAUCAGCCAGGCUCCUGGCCGGCUGGGAGGGGCUCCGGCAGUCCCAGCAGCGUGGGCGAGGAGAAGGGAGUGGAGCAGCCACUCUGGGCGACCCAGUGACCUUGAACAUUUGAGCCCCGUGAAAUCGGGGCAGCUGGAUGAGGAGUGCAGAGGCAGCUGGGGCUGCGCACAGAGCACGGGGAGGGACUGCCCCCGCUGGGUCCUCAGAGAGAGGCCGCUUUCUGCUUUAAAAUGCAGGCAGAGGCCAAUUAAACCAAAGUACCGAGGUGCCUCCCGGCAGAGAUGGCCGCAGGAAGGGGGUUAAACAAGGGCACAGCUGACUGGCCAGCUUGGGACAGGAAGUGGGGCCCAGCUGAGGCCAGGCCAGGGAGGAAAUGCAGGACUCUCUCCCUCAACCCUCAAACUGACCUUUUCAGAUCACCCAAAUCUUCUUCCUUUUUUUCCUAAUAUGUCUGAGCGCCAAGCAGCCCUGUGAUUUGUGGUCGUGGUUUCUGUGUCUCAGGACAGCUGCCGGGGGAGGAACUAUGUUUUGCUCACUGUACAGAUGAGGAAACUGAGGGUCACAGUGGUGAUGCAGCUGCUGAUAACUGACAGGGCUGAGGCUGAAAUCAGGCCCUUCUGACCCCCAGGCCAGGGCUCUUUCUGUCUUUUUUAUUUUUCUUUUAGAGACAGGAUCUCACUCUGUCGCACAGGCUGGAGUCCAGUGGUGCGAUCACUGCUCACUGCAGCCUCUACCUCUCAGGCUCAAGUGAUCCUCCCACCUCAGCCUCCCAAGUAGCUGGGACUACAGGCAUGCACCAGCACACCUGGCUAAUUUUUUUAACGUUUUUGUAGUGAUAGGGUCUCACUAUGUUGCCCAGGCUGGUCUCAAACUCCUGGGCUCAAGUGAUCCUCCCACCUCUGCCUCCCAAAGUGCUGGGAAUGCCAGAUGUGAGUGCCGUGCUGGGCCUUUCCAGAGCUCUUUCCUUGACAGCUCUGUGGCUCCCACUGACAGGGCUCUGCCAGGGAGCUGAGGAGCUGCCUCUCUGUCCCUUCGCCCUAUGCUGGGGUGACUCACAGAUGCCCUGGUCUCGUGGUGGCCUGACUAUGGCCUCCCCACUCUCUGCUCCCAUCUCCUCUCUCACAGAGCCCAGCUGUGAGUGGAUAUCUGUCCACCAUGUAUAGCUGGUGACCACACACACACACACACACACCACAGUCUGUCCUGGAGAAACUUCAGAAGGAAGGGACAUCACAGCUUUGAGCCUCUGCUCCUGGAACUGCUAUUUGGGCCAAGUCCCUUCUGACUUUCUGGCCCAUCCAGGGCAUUUUGCUGGAUAGUUUGGAGCCGUAGCUGAGGGAAGGGCUGUCCUCUCUGAUUCCAGCACUUCCCAGUGCUUCCUCCAGGUGUGAGGGUCACAGGUACAGCUUCAGGGAGGGGCUGGAGCCCACCAAGCCCUGUGGUGUCUGCAGCGGGGGGAUGGCAGUGGCUGUCCCUGUUGAAGGCAGAUAUGCCUGGGCUCAAGCCUUGCCCUGCCUUCCCCCCGGUACACUCAGUUGUGUGACCCUGUCAAGUCGCGUAACCUCUGAGAGCCUCAGUUUCCCCAUCUGUGAAGUGGAGAUAAUGAUGCCCUUAGGACUGCUGAGUGACUGGUGGACCGUUGCCUGUAGGCUGUUAUACCAACAGGCACCGCUGUCCCCAAAGCUGCCACCCAGCGAGCCCAGCGCCACCCCACUCUCAUGCCCCAGUCCAGCAGCCCUGAAAGGCUGGGGGUGGGGUCAGGCAGAAAAUG
rnacentral:lncRNA from 1 species